CCCCAUUCCCCCAUUCCCGUAUUCCCGUUCCCUAUUUUAAAGAUAGCCUACCUGGAAACAGUUUUAAGAAAUAAUCUCGGCGAGAUGCAGCGAAACGUGACUAUGUAAAUCUGUAAAUAUACAAUUUAUAUCAAAAGAUUUUCUUAAUACUCUGAACAUAUGUUAUUUGAGUUUGAAUCACUUGUCCUAGUUUAAGUUAUGUGCCUUUAUGAGUUUAUGAUCAUUUCCCAAGUUUGUUUAUG